rnacentral:rRNA from 1 species
UACGAAGGGGGCUAGCGUUGUUCGGAAUUACUGGGCGUAAAGCGCACGUAGGCGGACAUUUAAGUCAGGGGUGGAAUCCCAGAGCUCAACUCUGGAACUGCCUUUGAUACUGGGGAUCUCGAGUCCGGAAGAGGUGAGUGGAACUCCGAGUGUAGAGGUGAAAUUCGUAGAUAUUCGGAAGAACACCAGUGGCGAAGGCGGCUCACUGGUCCGGUACUGACGCUGAGGUGCGAAAGCGUGGGGAGCAAACAGG